GCCGGGCGUGGUGGCGCAUGCCUCUAAUCCCAGCUACUAGGAGGCUGAGGCAGGAGAAUUGCUUGAACCCAGGGGGUGGAGAUUGCAGUGAGCUGAGAUCGUGCCACUGCACUCCAGCCUGGGCAACAGAGCAAGACUCUGUCUCUA
ensembl:misc_RNA Metazoa_SRP Metazoan signal recognition particle RNA